rnacentral:lncRNA from 1 species
CUGAAUUUUGACGUAAUUUCUUCUGAUGUAGCUUGCAGGUGGUAGAGGUGUAUUUGAAAGUCGACAGUAUCUUGACAGCGAUUAGAAUGUCCUCCGUCUGCUAGUCUUCUUGAUUCUUAAAUUCUGUGGAGCUCAAAUAGACAACAAAGCUUUGUGGAACUAAUUAAGUGUUAUCAUAAAUAUCUAGCCUUCAUCAUGUUGAGCCUCCUCAAUAAAUGUAACUCUCUAUUUUUAUAUUUUCGUUUUUAUAAAGCAGAAAAAUAUUUAUUUUAUUUUUAUGCCACCACAGUAAAUGUACUGAUGGGUUUUAUGUCACUCGUAUACUCACACGGGGCUUACUGUUUUUAUCAUUUUUAUUUUCUUUUUAGGAUAGUAUGAACAUGAUUAACUAAGUAAACUAUUUAAAAUAAUUGAAAGGGAAAAGAUAACUACCAAGUUUACCUCUUGGCAAGGCGUUCGGUGUUUUUAAGUCCUCCGAACGGGACUUUCUGUUUUCUAGUUGUCCUGGGAUUUGUUGGGUGGCGGAGUCGGUACUUCCGGCAACGCCUCCUCUUCAUGUAUAGUUAUCUUCUCUCUCCACACCUGACUCGGUGCUACGGUCUCUUCUGGAUAAUUCUGUUUAAACUGUAUGUCUUCUGACCUUACCACUUCUCCUUCAUAGUCUGCCCAUCCAUCCUUGAUGAUUUCCCUCCUCUGAUUGCGGUUGCGUCGUUUUCUGACCUGCUUAGAGUCUUCAAUGAUAUAGUUAGGGUCAGUAAAAUAGCGGUGUACCUUCUCUAAGGGGAAGUGCAUAUGGACUUCUCCGGUUCCAAUGUAGAUAAUUGCUUUAAGUUAUUCUCAACUAUAUAGUCUAGCAUUAUCAUAGUUAGUGCAAGCAUACUUAACAAUCAUUGCAAGACAAGACUACGCCCAUGCAUAGUGAUAUUAGCAAGGAAUAUGAGAAACAUCGUAAUCACUCCCCUUUGCUCUGCCAGCCUAAUACACGAGAGGGGGACAAUAUAAGAAUCAAUGAAGCUGUCACUAUCACGAACUACCCCACGAUCUGGUAUAUUGGGUACAAUCGCAAAUAAAUACGGUAUAAGCACUACGCCUACACAAUAUCUAUCAUUUACCCAUGGAUCCGAUGGAUAAACGCUAUACAAUCCUAAACAUGUAUAUAGAUCCAAUCUAACU